AGAUGACAGAUCUAUAAGUACAGUAUCCUCUAAAACCAUCACAUGUCCAUCACAACAAAGCAAAGCAAAGGGGACAUGGUUUCCAAAUGUGUUUUUUCUUGAAUGCAUCCUCCCCAGGGAACUGGUUUCAGAUGGUGUCUUAGAGUAUAAAAUCCUGUCUAGCACCAUUUGAAAUCGGUGUUCUUGAGCGGGAACAGACUUCAGGAAUGACGACAGUGACAGCCUCAUUCACUAAGUUGCCAGAAAGUUUGGGAUUGCAGUUUGAUGGUAUUGUUUGCAUCCACAUUUUUACAAACUAUUCCAUACUUAUGAUACAUUGAGUCAAAUUAAUCAGUUUAGGAUUAUUACAAAACAAGAUAUGCACUGAUAAUGGAAUUAUGUGUCCAUUGGUUCUGUGGAUUGGUUUUCUAUUCAGCUUAUGCUCCAGUGAUCAGAAGAAAAGGAGGUGUUAAGGAUAAGUCCAGUCUUCAGACAACUUGACCCAUCUCUCACCAAGGCUGACCGUUUUCCUCUGGUGUUCAGAGUUUCCAUCAUGUCUAGCACCAUUUGAAAUCGGUUACAAUGUGGAGGGACUAUCAACAAAGCUUUGGCUUCAGCAGUUGCAUGAUGAAUUUCCUCAAAGUGCCAGAAGAUGGCAGUAUUGAUCCAUGCUACCAUCCAAGGCUACCAAGGUUUUUAGAAUCAUUGAGGCAGUGAAUGUUUUACUAGAUGACCCUGAUCAGGAACAAGACCAUCAAAACAAUAAUAAUUCAGUUUUUUCUUCAACCAUGUUGCCUUCACUCAGCCCUGCUGUGUGCAAGUUCAUGCUACAGUUAUCAUGUCGUGUACUUUUCUUCCAGGAACAGAUGAUAAACAAUGAGAUUAUCUGGUUAAAUGCUUCAGUAGUUAAGAGUGCAGAGUUUUCCUUGUAUUUAAAUAUUAAAAUAGUGUAAAAUUUUAGUUAAAUUAACAUAUGUUGUCCAUAGUGCCAAACUGUAUUUCCAUUAAUAAAGCAAAACUGGUUUCCCUCAAA